rnacentral:lncRNA from 1 species
ACUACUUUCGCUCCAGAGUACUAUAUGAACAGGUGAAAUCUACUACUGGAAAUUGGAAUGAAAACUUUCCCUUUUGCAAGAUGUGUUCACAAAUCACUAAGUUGUUAACAAAAAGUUAUUCAUAAAAUAAAAAGUUAUUCAUAACAUUCCCAGGAUUGAAAUUACAUUGCAAAUAGGCGUUUUCGUAAUUAAUAAAACUUACCUGGUUCAAUUUGUAGAGUCGGACACGGCUUAUUCGUCCAAGCCCAGAGCUCUAACUCUAAUGGAGCCUCCUACCCACCACGAUUCCGAAAGACAAAUUAAAAAGGGGUUUCGUGCAAGGAAUUGGCAAAAAAAUAAGAAGGCAAAUACUAACCACGUAGUCACAAAGAUUUAGGGUUUAGCGAAAUCUUGGAGCAACUCAGUCAACGGUUUCCUAGCCACUGCAAAGAUUGAUGGAAGUCUUGGAGCAAGUGUUUCUUUAGGGUCAGCCUCUGCAACGAGAGAAGGAAGCGCCACUGCUUGCGCGAACGACGAAGACAGUGUUCUGUGGUGAGGAAGACAACUUUCUGCACGAACAAAACCUGGCGAGGGAGAUAGCUAUGGUUCGAAGCAACCAAUUUGGGAGAAUGCGUGGGCGAGGGUUUUUUGCGUGGGCGAGGGUUUUCUUCGUGGGCGAAGUAUUUGGCUUGUCGAAUGAAAUUUAGGGGAGGGAAACCGAAGUUUUGGGUUUAAUGAGCGAGCAACUUACCC